AGAUAUUAUUUUUAUUAAAUUUAAAUAUUUUAUUUAAAUAUAAUAAUUAAUAAAAAAUUAUUAGUAAUUAUGAUUAAAUUAGUAUAAAAUUAUUUAAAAUUAAAUUUAAAUAAAAAGGUUAAUUUAAGGAACUCGGCAAAUUUAUUUUUCACCUGUUUAUUAAAAACAUGUCUUUUUGAUAAUAAUUUAAAGUCUAAUCUGCCCACUGAAAUUUUAAAUGGCCGCGGUAUUUUGACCGUGCAAAGGUAGCAUAAUAAUUAGUUUUUUAAUUGAAAGCUGGAAUGAAUGAUUGGAUGAGAAAAUAACUGUCUCAAAUUAAUUUACAUAGAAUUUUAUUUUUAAGUUAAAAAGCUUAAAUAAAAUUUAAAGACGAGAAGACCCUAUAGAGUUUAAUAAAUAUUAAUAUUUAAAUUUUUAGUUUUUAUUAUUUAAAUUUUUAUAAUUUAUUUUGUUGGGGUGAUAGAAAAAUUUAAUUAACUUUUUUUAUAUUCUUUCAUUAAUAAAUGUUUAUUUGAUCCAUAAAUUAUGAUUAUAAGAUUAAAUUACCUUAGGGAUAACAGCGUAAUUUUUUUAAAGAGUUCAAAUCGAAAAAAAAGAUUGCGACCUCGAUGUUGGAUUAAAGUUAAUUUUUGGUGUAGAAGCUAAAAAAUUAGGUCUGUUCGACCUUUAAAACUUUACAUGAUCUGAGUUUAAACCGGUGUGAGCCAGGUUGGUUUCUAUCUUAAAUAAGAUAAAAUAUUUUAGUACGAAAGGACCAAAUAUUAAUUACAUUAAUUAAUUUUGAAUAAUAUU
rnacentral:rRNA from 1 species